rnacentral:rRNA from 1 species
GACGUAGGGGGCCAGCGUUGUUCGGAAUUACUGGGUGUAAAGGGUUCGUAGGCGGUGUAGCAAGUCGGGAGUGAAAUCUCUGGGCUUAACCCAGAGACUGCUUCCGAAACUGCUGUGCUUGAGUGUGGGAGAGGCGCGUGGAAUUGCAGGUGUAGCGGUGAAAUGCGUAGAUAUCUGCAGGAACACCCGUGGCGAAAGCGGCGCGCUGGACCACUACUGACGCUGAGGCGCGAAAGCCAGGGGAGCGAAACGGGG